CACAUGGGCUUGUCUUACAAGAAUUGCAUCGGCGACUUGCCAAGGCUGUUCAGAAAAUAUUUUCAGGCCGCUUACUAUUACUUGGACGACCCUCCAGGAAACAGAGCUUCGCCGCAACUUUCUGAAACCUUUGACGACUCGGAGUAUGCUUCUGUGC